UGGAAAUUACAUUGGAUGUCAUUUUUUGGGUUUGCAUUUACAAAAAUAUCACAUUUUAAUAGUUUUGACCAAACUAUCACUUUAUGACUUUUAUGGCCCUCAAAAAAAAUUGAAAUACCUUGGAUGUCCUUAAUUAAAAUUGAUUUGACUAGAUGAAAUAAUAGUACAAAAAGUUAAUUUGCAUCACAUCAAAAGGUCCCAUCUCACUACUUACAAGAAAAAAAACAAAAACUAAAAAAUAUAUAUAUGAAAACUAAAAAUGUAAAAAUAUUCAUUCAUAUAGCAACCAAGGCCCUAAACCUAAACAACUCUCAAUUUCCUCUUUCUCACUCAAGAUCUUCUAUGAUUGCCAAAAUAUCCAUUUUUGUCCAGGUUUGUUGGUCUAAAAAGUUCAUACAAUUUACUCU
rnacentral:lncRNA from 1 species